UACGGAGGGUGCAAGCGUUAAUCGGAAUUACUGGGCGUAAAGCGCACGCAGGUGGCUGAGUCAGUCGAUUGUGAAAGCCCUGGGCUUAACCUGGGAAUUGCAGUCGAUACUACUCAGCUAGAGUAUGGGAGAGGGCAGUGGAAUUCCCGGUGUAGCGGUGAAAUGCGUAGAUAUCGGGAGGAACAUCAGUGGUGUAAACGGCUUUCUGGACCAUAACUGACACUGA
rnacentral:rRNA from 1 species